rnacentral:antisense_RNA from 1 species
GUGGGUGCUUCAGACCUUUUUCACUGGGAUUGUGCUGGAGGUGAUGGGCAGCAUUCUAUCAAUUCCUCAGCAACAGAGGUGAAGCCUCCUCAAACCAGAAGCACAAAUUGUAGGGGACAGGGUGGGCAGGGAAAGGGAGAAGGAAAUCCCAAGGCAAUUCAAUAGAAGAGGGUAAAGCGAGUCCAGACAGCACUAAGGGCAGGUGGGGGCCUGCUUGCUAAGUGUCCUGCCCUCCUUUCUCUCUCUACCCACCUCCACUCAAAAGAUCCUACCAAAUCUCCAGGUAGGCAGCAGGGAAUAUCCUACCGUUAGGGGACAAUAACAGGAAAAGCCCCAGAGGAGAGGAAGAGAAUUGAGUGAGAGUUCAGGAGAGCAAACAUCACAGGCCCGGUGAGGUCUCAAGGUGGCUGCCAACAGGGGCAGCAGCAUUCACCCAGGGCCCCCACACCCCCAGAGUUGCCCGAGAGAGGUCCACAGCUCAGCUCCACUCUGCUGUUUGGCCCUCAGGGGUUCCAGGGUGGGGAGGAUCUCGAUCCCAUAACGCAUCUCACUCAGCUCCUCCAGGUUCAGGCUCCCGACACCGCCGGUCAGACUUGCGGGUAACAGGAGUCCCAGAAGCAGCAGUCCUAACAAACUGGACAGCAGCGUUUCCGCCGCCAUCUUUCGUUCCCCUUCUUAUCCAGACUCU